rnacentral:rRNA from 1 species
AUGACUCUGUAUCUGAAGGAAAAAAGAACUGAAAAGUUUAACAUUGAAUUUGUUUUUGUUCAGGUCAGCUAUGCAUUUUUGUGUGGUUCAGAAUUAUAUGAUGACCCAUCUAAGUCUGUGGUUACACUUUGGUACAAAUGCACAGUCAGGAUUGGGGCUGAAGCAGGCAGAGCGCCAUGCCAAAAUAGGAUUUCAGCAAUGGAGAAAUCAAUCCGGGGGUUUGCCGAACAUCCUAGUGACAAUGUCAUUGUGCCAAAAUUAGGGACUAGCUUCCACACACUGGGUGAAGCUUACGAUUUUUACAAUCUGUAGUCAUGGGAGAAAGGUUUUGGCAUCUCAAAUUUCUUCCUUUGA